rnacentral:lncRNA from 7 species
AGAAGCCAGAGCCAAAGGAGUCGCUCUGCAAUUUAUUCCAAUGGGUGGCUUUUAAGAAGCUGGCAAUUUGAGACGGCUGGGUGUUAUUUAGUGCAAUAUGAAAUCAAAUGAUCCUAUUUCUCAAAUAACAGUGUCCGUGAGGAGAAGCGAACGCUCUGAAAAGGGAUCCUGCGGCUCCCCCAGGCAGCCCGAGCUCCUCCUGCAGACGGACACGGCCCCGGCGCUGCUGCGGUGCCCAGAGAGAGGAUCUGGGCAACAACGCAGUACCAACUCGCCUUGGCACCAAGGAGCGGGCUCUGAAAGAGGCAGGGUGCUCCCAUGCAUAUGAACACUCUCAGGUGCAGUCUCCUGUCCUCCUGUAAUGACCCAAAGUGGUGUAAGAUCUGCACAGAAGGACAUCAGCAUUGUUUCAGUUGGAGCCACAGAAGUUAAAGCAGCGGUUGCACGGGGCACUCCGUGGUGUAAAGCAGGCAGAUGAUUUAAGGGACGGGGGAGCUCAGCACUGUCAAUCUACUUGUCCCUCUUCAGACAACAGCAGCCACUUCAAUGGAGACUAGAAGCUGCUGGUUAAUUCCUCGCGUCUACAUCUCAAACAGCAGUGACCGUGAAUCACUGAGACCCCAGAUCUCCCCGAUACCCUCUCAGACUCAUGGCCUUGGAGCAGCCAGAGAAGGGCUGGGCGUACAGGAUCCCUUCUGGUCCACUGACAACAACAUUACUAGAGACUUUCAAUGAUUUCAACAGGCUCUGGAUAAGGCCCUUACAUUCUCAAUAAACACUGUAUGGCUUUAAACACUGUAUUCUUGUUCUUAAGUUUGGUAUUAAAUCAGCUGUUAUCAGUGGCUCCUGCGUUAACAAGUUCUUGCUGGAGGAACUCAUUUCACCUGUCCUGCUGGCAGCAAACACUGUGCUCUUGAGUAAGGCAAUGUCUUUUCUAUUUAUGCAUCAGACGUGGGGAAUAAUAGGUUUCAAGGAACUGCAACGUUCAAUAAAAGCGUUUUAUUACAUUUAAAUUUAUUAAAAUUUAAACAUUAAAUUCAACAUGUUAAUUACCGCUUCCACGCGUUGACACUGGCAGUCAGAAAUGGAUCCACACAACUGCUCUGCCGAGAUAUGUUUGCUGGUGUUAUUUGCUCUUUGAUUACUAAUGUAUUAUUAGUGCUCUUCAUUUGGGACUUGAUUCAUUAACAAAAAGACGUAUAUGGGCAUUAUGCAAAUUUUUGUAUGCCUUUUACAUGGCUACCAGGGCCUGCAUUAUAAAUCUAAUUGAAAAAAAAAAAAUAGCAAAUAUAUUCAGUUCUGUCCUGGCUUGUGGGCAAGCUUCAGCCAAACGUACAGUUGCUCCAGAAACCAAGGCAGAGCGCAGAGGAAAAAUCUCUUUUCAGAACAUCGCUGGCUUUCUGCAAAUCCCCUUGCAGUGAAAUCAAACAAAACCUCUGGGCUGCUGCGCUUUGACUGAACUGACAAAAUGGUGGUGAAGAACUGGGAUCCCACAGCCAGAUGAUUGCUGUGGUGAGGAAUAGCCUGCACCUUUCAGGGUGCUGCUAAAUCUCCGGGGGAAAGCGGGAUGCUAAAAGCACACAUGGCUUCCUUCCUAAAUUAAAAAUGAUGGAUAAAGCU